rnacentral:rRNA from 1 species
UGCCUAACACAUGCAAGUCGAACGAGACCUUCGGGUCUAGUGGCGCACGGGUGCGUAACGCGUGGGAAUCUGCCCUUGGGUUCGGAAUAACACUUAGAAAUGACCGCUAAUACCGGAUGAUGACUAAAGUCCAAAGAUUUAUCGCCCAGGGAUGAGCCCGCGUAGGAUUAGCUAGUUGGUGAGGUAAAGGCUCACCAAGGCAGCGAUCCUUAGCUGGUCUGAGAGGAUGAUCAGCCACACUGGGACUGAGACACGGCCCAGACUCCUACGGGAGGCAGCAGUGGGGAAUAUUGGACAAUGGGCGAAAGCCUGAUCCAGCAAUGCCGCGUGAGUGAUGAAGGCCUCAGGGUUGUAAAUCUCUUUUACCCGGGAUGAUAAUGACAGUACCGGGAGAAUAAGCCCCGGCUAACUCCGUGCCAGCAGCCGCGGUAAU